rnacentral:rRNA from 1 species
UGACGCUGGCCGGCGUGCUUACACAUGCAAGUCGAACGGAAAGGCCUCUUCGGAGGUACUCGAGUGGCGAACGGGUGAGUAACACGUGGGUGAUCUGCCCUGCACUCUGGGAUAAGCCUGGGAAACUGGGUCUAAUACCGGAUAGGACCAUGCUUUAGUGUGUGUGGUGGAAAGUUUUUUCGGUGUAGGAUGAGCCCGCGGCCUAUCAGCUUGUUGGUGGGGUAAUGGCCUACCAAGGCGGCGACGGGUAGCCGGACUGAGAGGUUGGUCGGCCACAUUGGGACUGAGAUACGGCCCAGACUCCUACGGGAGGCAGCAGUGGGGAAUAUUGCACAAUGGGCGCAAGCCUGAUGCAGCGACGCCGCGUGGGGGAUGACGGCCUUCGGGUUGUAAACUCCUUUCGCCAGGGACGAAGCGUUUUGUGACGGUACCUGGAGAAGAAGCACCGGCUAACUACGUGCCAGCAGCCGCGGUAAUACGUAGGGUGCAAGCGUUGUCCGGAAUUACUGGGCGUAAAGAGCUCGUAGGUGGUUUGUCACGUCGUCUGUGAAAUUCCACAGCUUAACUGUGGGCGUGCAGGCGAUACGGGCUGACUUGAGUACUGUAGGGGUAACUGGAAUUCCUGGUGUAGCGGUGAAAUGCGCAGAUAUCAGGAGGAACACCGAUGGCGAAGGCAGGUUACUGGGCAGUUACUGACGCUGAGGAGCGAAAGCAUGGGUAGCAAACAGGAUUAGAUACCCUGGUAGUCCAUGCCGUAAACGGUGGGCGCUAGGUGUAGGGACCUUUUGGGGUUUCUGUGCCGUAGCUAACGCAUUAAGCGCCCCGCCUGGGGAGUACGGCCGCAAGGCUA